AAUUUGUUGAGGUUGAGCAAUGAUCUCGAAAUUGAAUUAUGAAAUCAAGUUGUAUAGAUAGAUCUCAGCAUGUAACGGCCCUUAAAAAACAGCCGUUGGAUCAAUGGAGGGUCAAAGGAGAAACUUGAACUCGGAAAACCUAUUCGCUCGGCCCUCACUCAUCGACUGCUACCUCUGUUCGAAAACCUAUUCACUCAGCGCUCAUUCAUCAAUACCCAUAUCUCAUUCAGCCCCCACGAGUAUAUAUGCUCGUGUGUAUAGAGAGAGAGAGAGAGAAAGAGAGAGAGAGAGAGAGACAGGCAGACAGACGUAUCAAAGGGGAAAGGGUUUAGAUCUCAAAAGAAAGGAUACGGUGGUGGAGAGGAAGAGACGAGGAGGGAGGGAGGGAGGGCGAAGCCUAGUGGCUGCUCGGAGGUAUGGUUCGAUGACGGUUGGAGUCCGUAAUUUUAUUUUUUUUGACAGAGGUACCUCUGUUCGAAAACCUUAUUUAUUAGAAAUUAGGGCUUUUUUUUUUGGGUCUGUGUGCUUUGAAUGUUCUCCGUUGUUUAAUCCCCCAUUUUAAAUAAAGUAUGUACUUUGCAAAAGAUAAACCAUAAUUUGUUUUUAAAAUGUGGUCUCCUACCCUGGGUUUAUGAAACAACUACAAAGAAAAAGUUUGGUAGUGGUCCCCCAGUUGUGUUCUAAUGUCUGGGUUCCAAUGUCCCCAAAUCGUUGAGUAUAUGUUAUAUGCUUAUCACUUUCAGUGUAUAAAUGGUGAAGAUGUGUUGUUUUUUUGUAUUACAUGAUGACAUCAAUUUUUUUUUUUUGUUUAUGUUGGUUGAGUAAGUGGGUCUGAUUUCCAGGACUUUUUAGAUUUGAUUUAUGCAUUAUUUUUUUACGUGUAGUGCUCUCUUGACAAUUUUAAAGACCGUGGGAGCCUUGACUGAGAUGUUUCUGUAAUUAGUUUAAUGUGUUUCUGCUCUUCUGGUAACUCACUGUCUCGUUCUCUGUAUUUUCUUUUUUUGAUUUCACUUUUGUGUCUUUUGUUUCAUUAGGGGUAGGGCGAAUCAUAAUGUGAUGGGUGAGGUGACGAGCAAGCAAACGCUGGUAUUUGAUAACAGCUUGCUGUUAGGAAAAUAUGUGAUUCAAUCAGAAAAUCAUAUCAUUUAACUCCAAGUUCAACGGAUGUAUACUAUGAGAGUAAUAUCUUCAGGUACCCUAUGUUGAGGGGAACAACAUUCUGUGUUGUACUGCUGAUGAUUUGAGAUUGGCAACAAAGUUCCAUCAUUUUCUCCUUGGUGUGCCUUAUGGCUAUUUGAAGGGAUGGAAAGUCACACAAAUACCAAACUCAUGUCUAUAAAUAUAUGAAGGUAUUUAGUUAGUGUUUUGUCUCAAAUAUGGUUUUAGUUUAUAUUGGUUCUCUACUUAUGCUAUUUUUAUACUUCGUCUGUUAAUGUUGUGACAUUAUUUUUUGAAUUUGUGGUUUGAGAAACUUAGGUUGCAAUGAGGAAUACAUUAGGUCCAUGAAACAUGUUUGACGAAAUGCUCCAAAGGGGGAAAAAGAAUUGCUGCAUAAAAUGACUAAAUAGCAUUUUCUUUUUUUUAACAUUGGCACAAAAACUCUUAUGCAAGUGCACCUCUUUGCUUCAUGCACAUACUGUUGUAAGGAAAGAUGGUAGAUAUAUUGCUUCUUUGAGGGUAAGAUACAUAGUUGUAUAAUUGUAGUGGAACGUUAGUCUUGCAAGUAAUACGUGGUUGAGUAGGAUUUUUCAUGUGUUCUUUUCAUAUUUUUUCCUUCGCAUUCAUGGAGAACAUAAAACGUUGGACUCCUCUUUUGACCAAAAUACUUCCGAUCAAGUAUAAUCUUAUUUCUUGUGUUUGUAUGCAUUUAUGGAUUACUGUGUGAUUUUCAAUUCAAGUAUGUUGUGUAAUGUUAAGCCCUAUUGUCUUCGUUGGGUGGGUGCGUAAGUAUCAUCUGAAAACAAUUAGGCUAAGUGUUUUCAUGUUGGAUUCAUAUCAUCUUUAUUUUUUGGUGGCACCUCAGUGUAAUUCGAUUUUUUUUUUUCUGUUUAAUUAUGAUGCAGUCAUUGUUUGAUUCUUUGGAGCUUCAUUGUGUUUUUUGUGAGAUGUAACAAUCUGAUUCUUGAUGUUUUAAAGAACACAUGUUAGCAAGUAUCUAAAAGUUAUGACAUUGUAUCUGUUUUUUUUAGUUGUUUCUUUUCUUUUCUCCUUUUCUUUAACAAACUAAUUUGAAUUACAUUAUCCUCGUGUUAAGGGCUAUUCUCAUCAAUUGGUUAAUGAUCACUCUUCAGAGCGGGAACUUUCAUCUAUGUUGCUGUAAAAAACAGCGUUGUGAAUCCUCAUCCACUAUUUGCAUGUCAUAAAUUUUCUCCGUGAUUGUCAUAGAAUUGGAUGUUUAUUUUGGGCAAUUAUUAAGUGAAUAUUAGUUUUGAAUGGAUUAGAUUUUGCAAAGUUCCUAUGCAUGUGGACUCUACGGUUUUUCCUCAAAUUAGACCUUAUAUGCACGUGUCGUUAUACCCUACGGAUAGUUUCUCCUUUCCAUAGGAAUUACAUGCACUAUAGUUUUUUGAUGUGUACUGCAGCUUUAUGAUGGGGUAGAGGUGUUUAUGAACAACUUUCAACCUGUAACUUUUAUGUUCUCUGCCCGACACCUUCACCUUAGGUUCCUCACUUGGGCUUCAUUUUUUCCAAGAUCCUACCCUUUUCUUUCUCAAAUUAUUUCGAGCAAGAAAAAGCUUGAAUUUUCUGCUAACAGAGAAAGAUGAUUAGCUUCAACUAACUUGGUUAUAUUUGGUACGAAACUAGCAUUGAUCCAUUAAACCUUUUUGCAGACGGAUAGGGCUGCCAUGUUUGAUGAAAUUAUAGAUUAUGUGAAGUUCUUAUAUCAUCUUUAAAGUGUAUCCAAGAUAACUGUCAAAAUUGAUGGUGUGAAAGACUUUACUUAUGGAGAGUUGGCGCCUAUGCUCAAGUUGGUCAAGGAGGAUAUGGGAAGGUCUACGGAGGUCCUCUUGCUGACGGCACUGUUGUGGCCAUAAAACAUGCACAAGAAGGAUAGGGUCUAGAAGCAGCAAUUAAGGAUUUGCUCCCCUUUGUUGAGCACAGACACCAUACCAGGUCUCCAUCUUUGGUGUGCCUUCCUAUCAAAUCAAAACUCAUGAUUUAAGGGCACGCACCCGAGCAAAAUGAGGCAAAAAAGAUGGUGAUUUAAAGGAUGUUCAACACAAGUUAGUUGUAGGUGGAAAUGUGCUCACACAUCUACUAAUAAAAUGAGUGUGCAUUCCAAGUGGUUUAAGGUCAUCCAUAAGAUCACCUUUAAACCUAGAGGCUUGUGUUCAACUCCUGCUAGCGACCUUUGUUUUACCCAAUACAUGUGGCUUUGGGAGUGGCUUGUGGGUGUUUUGGUUUAUAUACCUUACAGGGAUAGGUCAAAAGUGACCCUGCCUGAUGAGUGCACAUAAGAAAUUUAGCUUCCUUAUGCACCUCUAAAUUGAUUAUCCCAUCCUCAUGAUUUCUUCUUUGUUUCUUCCUGCAGGUGUAUAUCGAUUUUUUCCCCAUUCCCUCCUCUGCUUUUUUGAGUGAAAAUUGUGGCAACCAAUUUUGCGCGGACACAGACAUGGACAUGAAAAUUCAAAAUAAUUGGAGACAUGGCCAAAACGUGAUAAGGGGUAAACUAAGUGACAGGAUGGAGCUACUGCAGGCUUUUGUUCCUGACAUUAGUCAUGGAUUGAAGGCGUUCUCUUUUUUAAACUAAUCGUGGGUUAAGGAGGGAGGUUAAAGGGAUGUUGAAUCAAAAGGAUUGAGCAAUUCGGAACACAACAACAAUGGAAUUAUUUUAGGACUACAUACGAAGCUUCUCUCUCCUUACUAUCUCAAAUCUUUGGUUAUAAUAAAGGAUGGGUAUUAUAUAUAUUGUUGUGGCCUAGGUGGCACUUCUUGCAGCAUGUGUGCGUACGGGCACUUCAAAGUUCUGUUUGCAAUGGGAGCUAGGGCGAGAACUGACCCUACAAAAAUCCGUGUGGCUGAUUUAAGAGAGUCGACAAAUGACCCACUAUCUUUAGCUGUAAUUCUUUUGGUGUGCAUGAUUUGCUUUCUAAUACUUUAGGACCAUGUAACUAACUACCAUAAACUUUACGAAAAUAACGUUACUUUAGCAUUUGUAAAUAGGGUAUGCAUUAUAUGAUCUACAUGUAAAUCAGCUAGACUCUUGUUACUUUAAUCAAUCGAUGUAAUACGCCUUUCCUCUUCAACGGGCAUGACAUUCGUGCCUUGCUCCUGGCCAGACCUAGUGGGUAGAAAGUUAAUGGUGAAAAGAAUUACACAGAAGCCGAACUCAAUCGAGUGCAAGAUGGGCGGACUAAUUUCAUCCCAAAAAUUACUAUAACUAUGUCUUAUAUGCUAGGUGAAUGAUGUCGUGGUGCUUUCAGAUUGUGUGCCUUUCAGGAUUCCAUAUGGGUUUGGUGUAGGUGGGCUUUGAAAUAAGAUGGUGGUGAAAAACUGCCCUUCUUUGUCGAAUUAUUUGAAGCUAGAAAAUGCCUAGACUUUCCGCUAACAGAGAAAUAUGAGUUUUUGUAUAAGUAGGUACUGUUGGUUCAACUACUUGGUUAUAUCUGGUAGGAUACCCUCAGCUUUCUAGAGCACUUUGGAGAGCUAUGAAUGGAUCCCUUUUGGGUUCGGUGCAGGUGGGCUUGAAAUUAAAUGGUGGUGAAAAAUUGCUUGAUUAGGUCCUUAUACCAGGGUCUGACAUUCGCUCAAUGUUCCAGCAAGGGUGCCAAACUUUACAAGACUUCUAAUGGUCUCUUGGCAUCAUUGUUGCCAUUCACCAACACUGAUGUUUCAACCGAUGGGAGAUGGUGCUCAAUAGUGCUAUGGGUGGUUCCCUAAUCUCGCAUCCAUGUUGUGAGAUGGUCAAAUUUGAAAUACCACCUUCUAUCUCUUUGUCCAUUUAUGCAGUCUCACUGAUUUAAACCAGGCAUAUCCACGCUCUAUGCCAUCUCUCGUUUACAUGCUUGCAUUUUGUUGCCUAGAUAGGAAACUAUUGCUGCACAAUAAUGGCUAAUGACAAAUGCCUUUAAUACAGAAUAUUAUUUUAUUUUCUGUAGAAGUCAUAGCAUAAACUUUAUCUUUUUUAGAUGUAACUCGAGUUCACCACGAGCUUUAGUUUAUCAUUCAGAGGGUAAAACUAUCGAUGACGCCAGGUGGUACCACCUGGCAGGUCCAGGACCCUACCACAUUGUAUGACAUGCUAAGUGUGGAAUUACAAGAUGUGCGCUUUAGAGCACAAAUUGGUGGGCUACUUUGCCAUUAGUGGAUUACUUCUUGGCUAACCUAUGUUCAACUUAUGAAAUGCCUCUGUGGUGAGUCUGGUGGUUUUCACUAACUCCUAAAUGUUGCAGCUUGAUGACAUCAUGCUGGUGCUAGCAGCCAUCAUGUGAUAUGUUCUAUUGGUUUGUUCCUUUCUUUUUACUUUGGCACACGCCCCACUCGUUGGCCUCGAAUAGAAUUUUGGGGUGGGGAUUCAUGUCAUGAGAAUCAACCUCUCCCCAAAAUAUGAGGGUGCCACUCCACAUGAAAAAGAGACAAGAUGAGACAUGUGAACAAUUACAUUCUGUUUUAGGCGACUCAUCUAUUAGGUGUGAACUUAAGUUGGCUGGACCUCAGUAUGAUUUUCAUUAAGGUUCCUCUUCUUUUUCUCCAAUUGUUUCUGAAGAGUUUUUGUUUCUAUAUAUAGUCUCGACAUGCCAUGAGUAGGAUAUUUCCUCUAAUCUUUACAUGUUUUUUCCUUCACAUGAGAUGGGUAUUGUCAAGCUUGAUUAUUUAGGACAAAAGAAAAGUAGUUUACAUUUGGUAUUUUUCAAUCUAUAUGUUGGUGUUUAUCGAUUGGUGUUUUGAUGCAUGAUGUAUUCCUUCUUUUGCUUUUGCAUGCAGGGUGUUAAAACUUUGUGGUCUGCGGUACGCCAAUAGGUAAAUACCUUCUUCAGACUAUAAUGGAUAUAAUAAGUAGCUUCUUAUUUUUCAAUAGGUAGGCUGAUGCUAUUAGUAUUACUCAGUUCUCUUAGUUUUCCUUGAGUGAACCUGGAAGAAGUGUUUUUAUGUCCAAUUAAGUUGGUGGCAGUGCUAAUAUAUUGUUUGCUUGAUUGUGUAUGUGAAUCUCUCCAACAAUCACAUAUAACAUUUUGUUUGGGACCCUGUAUUUCCUCGAAAGUAAUUACUUCAGGAAGGAUCACCUGAUAUGAGAAAGCACUUUGAUUUAUUUUCUCUAUUGUGUAAACCAUUCAUUUCGAGUUUUUGAUGCAACCUCUGUUUGAUUCUUUGAAGUCUUGGUUGGUGUCUUUGAAAAGAAACUUGGCCUUCUCUUGGUUGGAGGAGGUGAAUCGUACUGUAUGUUAUGACCUUCUUCAAAGAGGCCGGUGUUGGCCUCUGGCAUUUAGCUGUCUGUGCAUUUUCAGAUCCUUUUCUUUUCUUUUGCCAAUAGUGUUCCGCAUGGGAAUACCUUUGGAGUUCUGUUAUUUGUGUUUGGAGUUAUCUUUUUUCUUUUGUGUCAAAUUUUCAUCACAUAUUUGUAUGUACAGUUAUGUUGCGAAACAAAAGAAAAAAUACAAACAUCUGGAGACAAAAUAUGACGAGAGAAUUCAAAAUUUCCCUUUUUUUCUACGGGAGAAGAAUGAAAAGCUGACGAUGUGCCAUGUUAGGUUGUUGAUGUAUUUGUUUUGGAGUUGAUUUUGUGUUUGGUUGGUGUCUUAUCAACUCUCUGUGGGGUUUGGCUAGCUCAUGAUUUGUGGGG